UUAACUGAAACCAAAAAGAGGUAUAUUAUUGUUAAUAAUAAAAUUGAAUUUAAAAUUCCUGUUAAA
rnacentral:tRNA from 1 species